rnacentral:misc_RNA from 1 species
UUUCCGUAGGUGAACCUGCGGAAGGAUCAUUAUUGUAUAACCGAGGUGCGAGGGCUGUCGCUGACCCGAAAGGUCGUGCACGCCCGUGUGCCCUCACACACAUCCAUCUCACCCCUAUGUGCACCACCGCGUGGGUCCCCCUUUGGCUUGUUCGGAGGGGGGCUUACGUUUUCACACAAACUUUGUAUGCAGUGUAGAAUGUAUUUUUUGCUUUUGCGAUCACGCAAUCAAUACAACUUUCAACAACGGAUCUCUUGGCUCUC